UGCCGGAUCGUCUAAUGGUAGGACUUCAGCUUUUGGCGCUGAAUAUCUAGGUUCGAGCCCUAGUCCGGCAG
rnacentral:tRNA from 1 species